rnacentral:rRNA from 1 species
GAAGCCCCCCUCAAGAUGAGAUUUCCCAUUCCGCAAGGAAGUAAGAUCCCUGAAAGAUGAUCAGGUUGAUAGGUCUGAGGUGGAAGUGUGGCGACACAUGGAGCUGACAGAUACUAAUCGAUCGAGGACUUAACCUAAA